rnacentral:misc_RNA from 1 species
CGCACAUUGCGCCCCUUGGUAUUCCGGGGGGCAUGCCCGUUCGAGCGUCAUUUCACCACACAAGCCUGGCUUGGUAUUGGGCCACGGGGGUGACCCGGGCCUGAAAGUCGUCGGCCGGACCGCCCGAAUCUCAGCGUCGUGAAUUACAUUCGCUGGCGAGUCGGGAGGUGCGCGCCGGAAAACAUCAAAUUUUCUCAGGUUGACCUCGGAUCGGGUAGGGAUACCCGCUGAACUUAA